UGCGGCACCCAGAGGCCGUCCUGUAGCCGGGCCGGCUUGGGGCUUGGUUCUAUGUCCCUGCGGGUCGGUGCAAGGGCGAAGAGGAACCCGUGGGCCUCAGGGGAUCCCGGGGGGCCGGACCAGUGUUCCCUAGUUGUGGGAGCAGACGCGUGGGCACAUUGCGGGCGGGCAGGGCCUGAAGUGCAGAAGUUUAUACGAGACCUAGUUUCCAGGGAAGAACUCACUGAUUCCGCGAGGGAGAUGGCUUAAUGGAUGAUGGUCGUCAGCCUUAAGGAUACUUCAGUCUUAACUGUGUGUUACAAAGUUUGAAAGGGAGGGUUCCCUAUGAAUAAGAAGCACACUUGAAAGAACAGCCAUCUGGUCUAACCUCUCACUGGUGCUUCAGAGGAGGAAAAAAGGUCACAGGUGAAGAUCCCAGUUUUCCUUGCUCAGGAAAUAUUAAUUCUACUCCCUAGAAUGCACAAGAUUUGCAAAGACUAGGUGAUAGUAGAAGGUUUGGACGAACUUUCAGAAGGUUGAGGUGAAUUCAGCUAAGAAGAACAGGCAAGGACUUAGGAAAUAUUCCUUAUUUGAAGGGGCCUGAAAGUGUGGUCUGGGGUACAGCAGUGACCUGUCAUACUUGAGAGGAUUAAAAUACUCUCCAAACACAGUCCCAUUCCUUCAACCUUAGCUCGUUUUUUCCAGCGUCUGAGAUACAUUAAACCUAGUCCAUCCCCAAAUUUAACAUUAGAUUGCGAAGUUCUAUUGAUUGUAUUUGAUUUGUAAUUUAACAUUUUCUCCCCCUACGUAAUUUUGUUAAAAACACAGAAGUGAAUUCUGUUCACUUAGGUGUAACAGUUAAUACUUGCUGUUUAAGGAACUAAUUAAACCUUACUGGCUUAUAAAAAACAACCACCAUUUUAUUUGUUCGAAGUUCUGUGGAUCUGCACUUUGGUGUGGUGGGUUCAGCUGGGUAGUUAAUAUAUUUGUGUUGCCUGGAUCACAAAAAGGCCUCAGUCACCUGGUGCCUUGACUGAGCCUGGUUGGUUUAAGAUAGUUUACUUCACAAUCUGGUGGUUUGUGGU
rnacentral:lncRNA from 1 species